rnacentral:rRNA from 1 species
AGACAGCAGCCGCCGCGGUAAUACGUAGGUCCCGAGCGUUGUCCGGAUUUAUUGGGCGUAAAGCGAGCGCAGGCGGUUUGAUAAGUCUGAAGUUAAAGGCUGUGGCUCAACCACAGUUCGCUUUGGAAACUGUCAAACUUGAGUGCAGAAGGGGAGAGUGGAAUUCCAUGUGUAGCGGUGAAAUGCGUAGAUAUAUGGAGGAACACCGGUGGCGAAAGCGGCUCUCUGGUCUGUAACUGACGCUGAGGCUCGAAAGCGUGGGGAGCGAACAGGAUUAGAUACCCCCGUAGUCCCUGUCUCUUAUACA